rnacentral:misc_RNA from 1 species
GAAAUGCGAUAAUUAAUGUGAAUUGCAGAAUUCAGUGAAUCAUCGAGUCUUUGAACGCACAUUGCGCCCCCUGGUAUUCCGGGGGGCAUGCCUGUCCGAGCGUCAUUGCUGCCCUCAAGCACGGCUUGUGUGUUGGGCUUCCGUCCCUGGCAACGGGGACGGGCCCAAAAAGGCAGUGGCGGCACCAUGUCUGGUCCUCGAGCGUAUGGGGCUUUGUCACCCGCUCCCGUAGGUCCAGCUGGCAGCUAGCCUCGCAACCAAUCUUUUUAACCAGGUUGACCUCGGAUCAGAUAGGGAUACCCGCUGAACUUAAGC